GAUGAACGCUGGCGGCGUGCCUAAUACAUGCAAGUCGAGCGAACAGACGAGGAGCUUGCUCCUCUGACGUUAGCGGCGGACGGGUGAGUAACACGUGGAUAACCUACCUAUAAGACUGGGAUAACUUCGGGAAACCGGAGCUAAUACCGGAUAAUAUAUUGAACCGCAUGGUUCAAUAGUGAAAGACGGUUUUGCUGUCACUUAUAGAUGGAUCCGCGCCGCAUUAGCUAGUUGGUAAGGUAACGGCUUACCAAGGCAACGAUGCGUAGCCGACCUGAGAGGGUGAUCGGCCACACUGGAACUGAGACACGGUCCAGACUCCUACGGGAGGCAGCAGUAGGGAAUCUUCGCAAUGGCGAAAGCCUGACGGAGCAACGCCGCGUGAGUGAUGAAGGUCUUCGGAUCGUAAAACUCUGUUAUUAGGGAAGAACAAAUGUGUAAGUAACGAUGCACGUCUUGACGGUACCUAAUCAGAAAGCCACGGCUAACUACGU
rnacentral:rRNA from 1 species